CCGAGCGAGGGCUCCGGCCCGACCUCCAACCCAUUGAAGUUACCAACUCUGUUGCCUCGGGGGUGACCCGGCCGCCGCGUCGGGGCCCCCGGAGGACCACACCACUCUGCGUCUCUGCGUCGGAGUUUUGAGGGAAAUGUCAAUUA
rnacentral:misc_RNA from 1 species